rnacentral:rRNA from 1 species
UGAACGCUAGCGACAGGCCUAACACAAUGCAAGUCGAGGGGCGAGCACCGAAGGAGCAAUCUGAGGUGGCGACCGGCGCACGGGUGAGUAACACGUAUGCAACCUGCCUGUAAGCGGGGAAUAACCCGUUGAAAGACGGACUAAUACCGCAUAAUACUAAAUUACUGCAUGGUAAUUUAUUUAAACAUUUAUGGCUUACAGAUGGGCAUGCGCAUGAUUAGCUAGUUGGAGAGGUAACGGCUCCCCAAGGCAACGAUCAUUAGGGGUUCUGAGAGGAAGGUCCCCCCACACUGGUACUGAGACACGGACCAGACUCCUACGGGAGGCAGCAGUGAGGAAUAUUGGUCAAUGGACGAGAGUCUGAACCAGCCAAGUCGCGUGCAGGAAGAAUUGUCCUAUGGAUUGUAAACUGCUUUUGCAGGGGAAUAAAGUGCAUCACGUGUGAUGUUUUGUAUGUACUCUGCGAAUAAGGAUCGGCUAACUCCGUGCCAGCCGCCGC